GGGGAACUCUCUGAUCCCCCCUUUAGACAGUUUUCACUGUUUGACAAGCUUGGGUGUUAUUUCCACUGUCAAAGGUUUUGUUAUGUGAAGUGAUGUUAAUAGAUCUUAUAAAGCAAUACAGGUGAUACAGUACUCUUCUGCAGUUUUAGGGGCAGUGCUAUGUACCUGAAUAUUUCUCUAGUUAAAGUAAUUUUAUCAACAUGAUUUUAAAGAAGUUCGGAUGCAGUGCAAAAAGUUCACAGAAAAUGUUAAAAAGAGCAUCAGUAAGAUAAAACAAGUUUCCAUGUAUGUCACGAUCCAACCUCUGAGGAUCCCAGAGAUCAGUUUAGGGAGCUUUAAAAGGAACAUGUCCUGUACUUGCCUGACGAAAUUUAGCAAAAAAGUUUUGAGAUCCUUAAACCAUCUCAUAUGCGAGCUACUGAACUGGUCCCUUUCUCUGAGAGUGGAGGAUACAACAUCUCGAGGCAGUUUUCUUUUUCACCUGUGUCCACCCAACUGAUUUUUCAGCCCUUGUGGAGAUUUCCACUGCAGAGGCAUGUCUGUUUUAAACACAGUGCUGCCAUCUAGUGGUGUUUUUGGGCCUUGUCCUCUCAGAGCAGAGAUCCCUGCAGACUCUAAAAUCAGGUAACUGGACUCUGUAGAGUUUAAGAAACUCACACAGUUAUUCUCUACACUCUGAUUCUCAAACUCUACAGAGUCCUGUCGCCUGAUUUUGGAGUCUUCAAGAAAACCACGAGAAUCUACAUGGACAUGUGAGAUCCCUGCAGAUUCUCUGAAUCCUUUAAUUAUAAUGAACUAUAGAUGAGAAAGUCCUUACAUUCUUUGCAAUCUAUAACGGAAUCAAAUAACAGUAAAACUAUUCAAGUAUUUUCGCAGUCUUUCCUACAUUGUUGAACCUCUCCUUGUCUUCACCUCUGAGUAAUACACCUCUUUACCUUUUUUUAAAAUGUAGUGUUUGCAUCAAAUUCAACUAUAAGUAUUUCUUUUUGUUUCCUCAUAUAUCAUAUGUCAUUGGUUUAAUUUAAAUUUAGGAUUUUGAUGAUUUACAAAUCAUCAAAAUCUAAUUAUAUCAAUAUUUUUACAGCUUAACUUUUUUAGACGUGUGUUGUAUAUUUAUAUCAAAGCAAAACAAAAGCAGCUCUCGUGUACCGUCACAGUACUUAACCAACAUAUUAAUAUUAUUAUGUGAUCAAGUGUCUGAACUGUCAAGGACUUCCUGUCCCAGUUGUUCCAGAGAUUCAUGUGUUUUGUAAAUUCAUGCCAUACACAGCUGGGAACUUAAACCCUGUCUGACCUGUAAAGACAGAAGCUGGUUAUUUCCUGGAUAUUCUAGAGAUGAAGCCCAAAUUUCCUCAUAACCUGAUUGAGAUUCCGGUCUCCCGUGGAUGCUGUGAUUUAGGCUUAUUUGCACCAGAUGGCGCUCUCAGACUAUGUUUUCCCCAUGGUGGUUUGUUGUGCAGCACUGAGGGCUGUAGGACCAUCAGCUCACCUGCGAUCAUGACGCCUGUCACACUGAGAUGUGUGUUUAUUGAAGACAGUGACGCCUAUUAAUAUAACAAUAAAUCCACAAACACACAUCUGUUACCUGCAGCGUCUUCAUGUCAGUUUUAAAUUUCAGUUUCACCUUUUAUAAAACAGGCCUUUAUGAUCACAAACACUGUAAGUAUAGUCUGUAGGCGGUGUGUGUGUGUGUGUGUGUGUGUUUGUGUCGUGUAAGGCAGCAGUGUUAGCUCCCCUCAGUCAGAGUUAUUGGGUCUCAGACAGCCACGGAGUCUGUCUGGCUGGAAUAACAGGCAGCAAGAGCUGACAGGCUGAUA
rnacentral:lncRNA from 1 species